UGUCGCUGAUGGAUGGACCCGCGGUGCAUUAGCUAGUUGGUGAGGUAACGGCUCACCAAGGCGACGAUGCAUAGCCGACCUGAGAGGGUGAUCGGCCACAUUGGGACUGAGACACGGCCCAAACUCCUACGGGAGGCAGCAGUAGGGAAUCUUCGGCAAUGGACGAAAGUCUGACCGAGCAACGCCGCGUGAGUGAAGAAGGUUUUCGGAUCGUAAAACUCUGUUGUUAGAGAAGAACAAGGAUGAGAGUAACUGUUCAUCCCUUGACGGUAUCUAACCAGAAAGCCACGGCUAACUACGUGCCAGCAGCCGCGGUAAUACGUAGGUGGCAAGCGUUGUCCGGAUUUAUUGGGCGUAAAGCGAGCGCAGGCGGUUUCUUAAGUCUGAUGUGAAAGCCCCCGGCUCAACCGGGGAGGGUCAUUGGAAACUGGGAGACUUGAGUGCAGAAGAGGAGAGUGGAAUUCCAUGUGUAGCGGUGAAAUGCGUAGAUAUAUGGAGGAACACCAGUGGCGAAGGCGGCUCUCUGGUCUGUAACUGACGCUGAGGCUCGAAAGCGUGGGGAGCAAACAGGAUUAGAUACCCUGGUAGUCCACGCCGUAAACGAUGAGUGCUAAGUGUUGGAGGGUUUCCGCCCUUCAGUGCUGCAGCUAACGCAUUAAGCACUCCGCCUGGGGAGUACGACCGCAAGGUUGAAACUCAAAGGAAUUGACGGGGGCCCGCACAAGCGGUGGAGCAUGUGGUUUAAUUCGAAGCAACGCGAAGAACCUUACCAGGUCUUGACAUCCUUUGACCACUCUAGAGAUAGAGCUUCCCCUUCGGGGGCAAAGUGACAGGUGGUGCAUGGUUGUCGUCAGCUCGUGUCGUGAGAUGUUGGGUUAAGUCCCGCAACGAGCGCAACCCUUAUUGUUAGUUGCCAUCAUUUAGUUGGGCACUCUAGCAAGACUGCCGGUGACAAACCGGAGGAAGGUGGGGAUGACGUCAAAUCAUCAUGCCCCUUAUGACCUGGGCUACACACGUGCUACAAUGG
rnacentral:rRNA from 1 species